rnacentral:rRNA from 1 species
GAUGAACGCUGGCGGCGUGCCUAAUACAUGCAAGUCGAGCGAACGGACGAGAAGCUUGCUUCUCUGAUGUUAGCGGCGGACGGGUGAGUAACACGUGGAUAACCUACCUAUAAGACUGGGAUCACUUCGGAAAACCGGAGCUAAUACCGGAUAAUAUUUUGAACCGCAUGGUUCAAAAGUGAAAGACGGUCUUGCUGUCACUUAUAGAUGGAUCCGCGCUGCAUUAGCUAGUUGGUAAGGUAACGGCUUACCAAGGCAACGAUGCAUAGCCGACCUGAGAGGGUGAUCGGCCACACUGGAACUGAGACACGGUCCAGACUCCUACGGGAGGCAGCAGUAGGGAAUCGUCCGCAAUGGGCGAAAGCCUGACGGAGCAACGCCGCGUGAGUGAUGAAGGUCUUCGGAUCGUAAAACUCUGUUAUUAGGGAAGAACAUAUGUGUAAGUAACUGCGCACAUCUUGACGGUACCUAAUCAGAAAGCCACGGCUAACUACGUG